UACAGAGGUCUCAAGCGUUGUUCGGAUUCAUUGGGCGUAAAGGGUGCGUAGGCGGCGCGGUAAGUCGGGUGUGAAAUCUCGGGGCUUAACUCCGAAACUGCAUUCGAUACUGCCGUGCUUGAGGACUGGAGAGGAGACUGGAAAUUUACGGUGUAGCGGUGAAAUGCGUAGAUAUCGUAAGGAAGACCAGUGGCGAAGGCGGGUCUCUGGACAGUUCCUGACGCUGAGGCACGAAGGCCAGGGGGAGCAAACGGG
rnacentral:rRNA from 1 species